GUAAGAUGUGGUGGGGUGAGGUGAUGUGAUGUAUGGUGGGGUGGGGGGAGUUGAGUUGAGGUAAGGUGAUGUAAGGUGUGGUGGGGUGAGGUGAGGUAAGGUGUGGUGGGGUGAGAUGCGGUAAGGUAAGGUGAGGUGAGGUGAGUUAAGGUAUGGUGGGGUGUGGUGAGGUGAGGUGAGGUGAGGUGAGGUGAGGUAAGGUAUGGUGGGGUGAGGUGAUGUGAGGUAAGGUAUGGUGUGGUGAGGUGAGGUAUGCUGGGGUGAGUUGAGGUAAUGUGAUGUAAGUUGUGGUGAGGUGAGUAUCCCUGACCUAAAACAGACAAUAUAACUUAAAUCAUCCAAUCAGUCAGCCAGUCAGGCCGUCAGUCAGCCAGUCAGUCAGCCAGGCAGUCAGGCAGGCAGGCAGCCAGCCAGCCAGCCAGUCAGCCAGUCAGGCAGUCAGGCAGUCAGCCAGCCAGUCAGCCAGGCAGUCAGCCAGGCAGUCAGUCAGCCAGGCAGUCAGCUAGCCAGGCAGUCAGCCAGUCAGGCAGUCAGGCAGGCAGUCAGCCAGGCAGUCAGCCAGUCAGGCCGUCAGUCAGCCAGGCAGUCAGCCAGGCAGUCAGGCAGUCAGGCAGGCAUCCAGCCAGCCAGCCAGUCAGCCAGUCAGCCAGGCAGUCAGCCAGCCAGGCAGUCAGCCAGGCAGUCAGGCAGGCAGGCAGACAGUCAGCCAGCCAGGAAGCCAGGCAGCCAGGCAGUCAGCAGGUCAGCCAGCCAGUCAGUCAGUCAGUCAGCCAGUCAGUCAGUCAGUCAGUCAGGCUGGAAGUCAGCCAGUCAGUCAGCCAGUCAGUCAGCCAGGCAGUCAGCCAGGCAGUCAGCCAGACAGGCAGUCAGCCAGUCAGGCAUUUAGGCAGUCAGUCAGCCAGCCAGCCAGCCAGCCAGGCAGUCAGCCAGUCAGCCAGUCAGUCAGUCAGUCAGCCAGUCAGGCAGUCAGUCAGCCAGUCAGGCAGUAAGUCAGCCGGUCAGUCAGCCAGUCAGUCAGCCAGGCAGUCAGCCAGCCAGGCAGUCAGCCAGUCAGGCAUUUAGGCAGUCAGUCAGCCAGCCAGCCAGGCAGUCAGCCAGUCAGCCAGGCAGUCAGUCAGUCAG
rnacentral:lncRNA from 1 species